GUCGCUGCAAAAUCAGUGACCGGACUUGGCCGUCCGAAUUGCAAAAGGCGCACAAGCGCCCUCCAUCCGAUAGCAGGCGCUUUUUUU
rnacentral:sRNA from 1 species